AGUGAACGCUGGCGGUAGGCCUAACACAUGCAAGUCGAACGGCAGCACAGAGGAGCUUGCUCCUUGGGUGGCGAGUGGCGGACGGGUGAGGAAUACAUCGGAAUCUACUCUGUCGUGGGGGAUAACGUAGGGAAACUUACGCUAAUACCGCAUACGACCUACGAGUGAAAGCAGGGGAUCUUCGGACCUUGCGCGAUUGAAUGAGCCGAUGUCGGAUUAGCUAGUUGGCGGGGUAAAGGCCCACCAAGGCGACGAUCCGUAGCUGGUCUGAGAGGAUGAUCAGCCACACUGGAACUGAGACACGGUCCAGACUCCUACGGGAGGCAGCAGUGGGGAAUAUUGGACAAUGGGCGCAAGCCUGAUCCAGCCAUACCGCGUGGGUGAAGAAGGCCUUCGGGUUGUAAAGCCCUUUAGUUGGGAAAGAAAUCCAUCUGGUUAAUACCCGGGUGGGAUGACGGUACCCAAAGAAUAAGCACCGGCUAACUUCGUGCCAGCAGCCGCAGUAA
rnacentral:rRNA from 1 species